GCCAGACUCCUACGGGAGGCAGCAGUGAGGAAUAUUGGUCAAUGGUCGGGAGACUGAACCAGCCAAGCCGCGUGAGGGAUGAAGGUACAGAGUAUCGUAAACCUCUUUUGUCAGGGAACAAAGGCGGGGACGUGUCCCCGGAUGAGUGUACCUGAAGAAAAAGCAUCGGCUAACUCCGUGCCAGCAGCCGCGGUAAUACGGAGGAUGCGAGCGUUAUCCGGAUUUAUUGGGUGUAAAGGGGGCGGAGGCGGGUGUGUUAGGCCGGCGGGAAAGCCCGGGGCCCACCCCCCCGCCCGCCGUUGAAACUGGCAGUCUCGAGUUGGAGAGAAGUAUGCGGAAUGCGCGGUGUAGCGGUGAAAUGCAUAGAUAUCGCGCAGAACUCCGAUUGCGAAGGCAGCAUGCCGGCUCCACACUGACGCUGAGGCACGAAAGCGUGGGUAUCGAACAGGAUUAGAUACCCCCGUAA
rnacentral:rRNA from 1 species